UACGUAGGGUGCAAGCGUUGUUCGGAAUUACUGGGCGUAAAGGGCGCGUAGGCGGGCCUGUAUGUCGAUUGUGAAAGCCCCGGGCUUAACCUGGGAAUUGCAGUCGAAACUGCAGGUCUUGAAUGCUUGAGGGGAUGGCGGAAUUCCCGGUGUAGAAGUGAAAUUCGUAGAUAUCGGGAAGAACACCUGAGGCGAAGGCGGCUAUCUGGCGAUGCAUUGACGCUGAGGCGCGAAAGCGUGGGGAGCAAAC
rnacentral:rRNA from 1 species